AAAACUUUCAACAACGGAUCUCUUGGUUCUGGCAUCGAUGAAGAACGCAGCGAAAUGCGAUAAGUAAUGUGAAUCGCAGAAUUCAGUGAAUCAUCGAAUCUUUGAACGCACAUUGCGCCCCUUGGUAUUCCGAGGGGCAUACCUGUUCGAGCGUCAUUACACCCCUCACGCCCCCCCAUCGGGCGUGGUCUUG
rnacentral:rRNA from 1 species